UAAAAGAUUUUCAUUUUUAGUAGUGCCUGCUCAAUGAUCUUUAAUAGCCGCAGUCUCCUGUGCUAAGGUAGCAUAAUCAUUUGCCUAAUAAUUAUAGGAUAGGAUGAAAGGUGAUACAUGUUAUCUUCUUUAUUAAAAAGAUUCUUUUAAUUUAACAUUUAAGUAAAAAUUCUUAAAUCAUUAGGGGGACGACAAGACCCUGACGAACUUUACUCUAAGUUUAGCUGGGGUGGCAAAUAAAUCAAACCUUUCCUUCCACUUUUGUUGAAUAACCUGUAAAUGAUAAUCAAGUUACCGCAGGGAUAACAGCAUAACACUUUCCUGAAGACCUUAUAUAAGAUAGUACUUGUGACCUCGAUGUUGAAUUAAAAUUCUGUUAGAAGCAGCCUUCUAAUAAGAGAGUCUGUUCGACUCUUAAAUAUUU
rnacentral:rRNA from 1 species